rfam:Triticum aestivum genome assembly, contig: Triticum_aestivum_CS42_TGACv1_scaffold_592058_7BS
AAAGUACUCCCUCCGUCCGGAAAUACUUGUCUUCAAAAUGGAGAAAAUGGAUGUAUCUAUAACUAAAAUAAGUCUAGAUACAACCAUUUCAAGGACAAGUAUUUCCGGACGGAGGGAGUAGUCA